AUGAGUUCAACAAGAAGAAUUUGGACAGUUGCAGCUAGUGUUGGAGUUGUGGAAGCCUUGAAAGACCAAGGUUUAUGCAGGUGGAACUAUGGUUUAAGAUUAGCUCAACAUCAUGUUUUGAGAUCUUUGUCUCAAGCAAAGAAGCUUUCUUCUUCUAAUUCUUAUGCUACGGUUUCUAAUAGAUUAAAGGAAAAAGAGGCAAAGCAAUCAGAAGAAUCUUUGAGGAAUGUCAUGUACUUAAGUUGUUGGGGUCCUAAUAACUAA
rnacentral:lncRNA from 1 species